rnacentral:rRNA from 1 species
UACAGAGGGUGCAAGCGUUAAUCGGAAUUACUGGGCGUAAAGCGAGCGUAGUCGGUUAUUUAAGUCGGGUGUGAAAGCCCCCGGCUUUAACUGGGGAGGGUCAUUCGAUACUGCUCGGCUCGAAGACAGGAGAGGGAAGUGGAAUUCCCGGUGUAGUGGUGAAAUGCGUAGAUAUCUGGAGGAAUACCGGUGGCGAAGGCGGCAUCCUGGACCGACAUUGACGCUGAUGAGCGAAAGCUAGGGGAGCAAACGGG